CUUCUGGUAUGAAGAAAAAGUUAACUUCUGUCUCUCAAAUUUCAUUUAAAAUAGGUUCUGGAUGAGUACGUUUUCUGCUUCAAGGAAAAUUAACAGUUCCAGACUUGUUUGCUUAGAUGCACUAGAAUACAAGAUGCAUCAAAAUUGUAUUUCUAAGGCAGGGUGGAUGGUGGAAGACCUUUCCAUCUGAUGAGCUGGUGACCACACUGUUGAGUUCAGCACCACCUGUGUGGGCAGUUCUGGUGGCACAGCAUGGGAAUGAAUGACUGAAAUUUCCUCUGAACUAGAACUCCAGUUUCACCUGGCUCUGCAAGCAGCAAGUUUAAUGUGUUUAUCCAUGAAGUUUUGUGAAUAAAUAUAGUUCUAACAAAAGCCUGCCCUCCAGAAUGGGAAGUUACUAUUCUCUUACAUUCUGUACGCUCUCUUCUCCAUUUCCUUUCCAUGCACCAUAUCAUAGCCAAAGUUUAAAUAUUGGGCAAAGGGUUUAAAAGAAAACAAUUCACAUUUAAUCAGUGGAGAUACUUAUUACUAAAAUGUCAGAAGAUUCCACCCACAGUAAGCAACCAGCUCUCAUUACUGCUGGAAUGACAUAACACCUAAGAAAUUAAAAUUUGAAUGAAGAAAAACAACCAGCCAAAGAGAGUAAAUAGGAUGCAAAGAAAUAAUGUCAGACGUUCAAAACUGAAGGUAUCAAGAUGUUGAAGGCUACAGAAAUGUUUUCCAGCUUCAGUAUUUGGCUUUAUAAACAUUAUGGGGUUUUUAUUUCAUUUGGAGAAAGAAUCAGGGUAAGAUUUUAAAUGUUGCAAUUAAUGUUGUAAUAAGGUUGUAAUAAAUGUUGUGAUGAUGUUACAAUAAAACUGUGUUCCUGGAAAAAAAAUCUAUGCCACAGCAUGUGCCCUUCUAUCCUGAAAGUUUCCCUGAAGAAGAGAGGAAGGCACUGUCAGGGCCCCCCCAUGCCUUCUUGUAAUCGAGAGGUUCCAGCUUUCUGAUUGAGGUCAUCACCUCCAGAGGGCAGAAUGUGUCUGGGCUGUUGUUUUUGUGUUGUUAACAGACACCAGUUGUUUUCCACCCAAGAGGCUGAGGAAGUGGACAUCGUUGUCAGCUUACUGAAGUGCCACAAGACCUAUACCCAGUACCUCAU